GGGAAGGAAAUUAAAGGAAAGGAAAGGAAAAAAGGGGGAAGGAUAAAACAAAGGAAAAUGAAGGAUAAUUUAAAAGCACUAAAAGAAAACUACAAACAGGUACAUGAGCUUCAUUCUCUUGUGUGGGUGCAUCAGCAUCCUCUCUUUCCUUCUACCGUCAGUGAAACAGAUGCAUGUUUGUCACUGUCACCAACCAGGAAGAAUCAUAUGUGUGCAUUACUCGACAGAGUCAGGUCAUAAAUAUAGCAAUCCCAAUUGAAUGGUGACAGCAAAUCAAGGCAAGCAGAGAGCAGCUUGUUAGUCAUGCUCAGCGAGCUUGUUAAGGUAAGUGUGAAAUGAAUUCUUU